GACGAACGCUGGCGGCGUGCUUAACACAUGCAAGUCGAACGACGUGGCGAACGGGUGAGUAACGCCUAAUCAACCUGCCCUUCAGAGGGGGACAACAGUGGGAAACGACUGCUAAUACCGCAUACUGAAGGAGGUGAUUGCGUCUGAUUAGCUAGUUGGAGGGGUAACGGCCCAACAAGGCGAUGAUAAGUAGCCGGGCUGGGAGGAUGAACGGCCACAUUGGGACUGAGAAACGGGCCAGACUCACACGGGAGGCAGAAGUGGGGAAUCUUCGGCAAUGGAGGAAAGUCUGACGGAGCAACGCCGCGUGAGUGAUGACGGCCUUCGGGUUGUAAAGCUAUGUUAAUCGGGACGCGGUACCGGAAUAGAAAGCAACGGCUAACUACGUGCCAGCAGCCGCGGUAAUAC
rnacentral:rRNA from 1 species